GUGAAUAUCGGAACACACUUUUGUACAAUGCGGUUGACCGAUGCGCCGUUCGAUGCAUACCGGAAUGUACCUAAAAAUUGCCGUCAGGUAAAGAUGUGGUGGAAAUUGCCCGGCCAAACGAUCGAUUGGAAAUCGGUACUUGCAACGCCAUCUCUGAUCAACGGUACAAAAGCGAUAAACGCCAUGCCACCUAUUGCCGAAACACCUGAUCGUCUGCCUGAAUGACGAUUAAAUAGCCUUACAUUUUGGUGACCGGAGAAGAAAAUGAAAAUUAAAAGAAUCGACUUGGGUAAAU